rnacentral:rRNA from 1 species
GGCGGCGUAGCCUAACACAGUGCAAGUCGAACGGGGUAAGGACACCGGAUGAAGAUUCGUCAGAUUCCACCGUCCUACUAGUGGCGGACGGGUGAGUAACGCGUGGGCAACCUGCCCUGUACAGGGAUAGCAGCUGGAAACGGCUGGUAAAACCGCAUAUGCGCGCGAGUACCGCAUGGUACAGCGCGGAAAACUCCGGUGGUACAGGAUGGGCCCCGCGUCUGAUUAGCUGGUUGGUGAGGUAACGGCCCACCAAGGCGACGAUCAGUAGCCGGCCUGAGAGGGUGAACGGCCACGAUUGGGACUGAGACACGGCCCAAACUCCUACGGGAGGCAGCAGUGGGGAAUAUUGCACAAUGGGGGGAACCCUGAAUGCAGCGACGCCGCGUGGAGGAAGAAGUAUUUCGGUACGUAAACUCCUAUCAGCAGGGAAGAUGAUGACGGUACCUGACUAAGAACGCCCCGGCUAACUACGUGCCAGCCGCCGC